AGCGAACGCUGGCGGCAGGCUUAACACAUGCAAGUCGAACGGGCGUAGCAAUACGUCAGUGGCAGACGGGUGAGUAACGCGUGGGAACGUACCUUUUGGUUCGGAACAACACAGGGAAACUUGUGCUAAUACCGGAUAAGCCCUUACGGGGAAAGAUUUAUCGCCGAAAGAUCGGCCCGCGUCUGAUUAGCUAGUUGGUGAGGUAACGGCUCACCAAGGCGACGAUCAGUAGCUGGUCUGAGAGGAUGAUCAGCCACAUUGGGACUGAGACACGGCCCAAACUCCUACGGGAGGCAGCAGUGGGGAAUAUUGGACAAUGGGCGCAAGCCUGAUCCAGCCAUGCCGCGUGAGUGAUGAAGGCCCUAGGGUUGUAAAGCUCUUUUGUGCGGGAAGAUAAUGACGGUACCGCAAGAAUAAGCCCCGGCUAACUCCGUG
rnacentral:rRNA from 1 species